GCUUACGGCCAUAUCACGUUGAAAGCACCGGUUCUCGUCCGAUCACCGAAGUUAAGCAAAGUCGAGCCUAGUUAGUACUUAGAUGGGGUGACCGCUUGGGAAACCUAGGUGCUGUAAGCU
rnacentral:rRNA from 1 species